AUGCCAACACCUAGCUGGUUCUUGUGCAACUGUGUAAAACAAUCACAUCCCAGGCUUCUUUGUGUAGGAAAAAAGAAAAGAAAAAUGACUAAUGCCAUUUCAUGUUACCUCAACAGCUGCUGCAAACGUUGUGCCAUCUUCAUAUACAACUCCCACCUGCGCAGUCGCCUUCCAUUUCCACUGUUUCACAAUGCGAAAUUGGUCGCCAACCUAAAGGAUGCAUGGAAAAAGUUACUUGUGUGUGUAUGCAAGAAAGGGGAAUGCACCCACACUUCUUCCUCGAUACCUACCUCGUCCUCCUCUUCAUCCCCGUUGAUAUCAACACGACAAGGCUCCCGACCGGUGGGCCGUUUCAACUUCUGCCAAGAAGAAGGGUUUGCAAACCCCUGCAUAGAACAAACAAAAUUUAGAACAUGGCCGGAAAACCCCAAAAAAUAG
rnacentral:rRNA from 1 species